rnacentral:rRNA from 1 species
AUUGAACGCUGGCGGCGUGCCUAACACAUGCAAGUCGAGCGGUAACAGGUGUAGCAAUACAUGCUGACGAGCGGCGGACGGGUGAGUAACGCUUGGGAAUCUGCCUGUUAGUGGGGGACAACCCGGGGAAACUCGGGCUAAUACCGCAUACGCACUACGGUGGAAAGCCGGGGACCGCAAGGCCUGGCGCUAACAGAUGAGCCCAAGUCGGAUUAGCUAGUUGGUAGGGUAACGGCCUACCAAGGCGACGAUCCGUAACUGGUCUGAGAGGACGACCAGUCACACCGGAACUGAGACACGGUCCGGACUCCUACGGGAGGCAGCAGUGGGGAAUAUUGGACAAUGGGCGAAAGCCUGAUCCAGCGACGCCGCGUGGGUGAAGAAGGCCUGCGGGUUGUAAAGCCCUUUCGGUGGGGAAGAAAAGCCUCGAGUUAAUACCUCGGGUCUUGACGUAACCCAUAGAAGAAGCACCGGCUAACUCUGUGCCAGCAGCCGCAGUAAG